GAUGGAGCCUAGGAUGGAUUCAAACUCCUGAGAUGAAAGAGUCCCCUGCCUUAGCCUCCCAAGCAGCAGGGACUACAGGUGCAUGUCACCUUGCCCAGCUCCUGCAAAAUUUGUUUGUAGCAAAGGACGUUUCCAUGUUCUAUCCCAUUAGGUAUCGAUCCUCUCAAUGAAGGCCUUUUUUUCAAUCUAAUAUUUGUGAUAUGGGUGUAUUUGGAUCCUGUAAAGCUAGCCGUACAAUGAUAACUUUGACACAAAAGUGUGGUGCUGUUUGGGGGUUUUGUUUGGGUGGAGGUGAGUGGACAGAGAAGUAACUUGGAAACGAUGUGUAGUAGUGAAGUCAAGCAGAGAGAAGGAUGUGAACAAGGUGGAACUAAAACCGUGUUCUGUUAUUAGGCACCAGAAUCUAA
rnacentral:lncRNA from 1 species